UACGUAGGGUGCGAGCGUUGUCCGGAAUUAUUGGGCGUAAAGAGCUUGUAGGUGGUUUGUCGCGUCUGCUGUGAAAACCCGGGGCUCAACUCCGAGCUUGCAUUCGAUACGGGCAGGCUAGAGUUCGGUAGGGGAGACUGGAAUUCCUGGUGUAGCGGUGAAAUGCGCAGAUAUCAGGAGGAACACCGGUGGCGAAGGCGGGUCUCUGGGCCGUAACUGACGCUGAGGAGCGAAAGCAUGGGGAGCGAACAGG
rnacentral:rRNA from 1 species